rnacentral:rRNA from 1 species
UACGUAGGUGGCAAGCGUUGUCCGGAUUUACUGGGCGUAAAGAGCGCGCAGGCGGUCGUUCAAGUCGCGUGUGAAAGCCCCCGGCUCAACUGGGGAGGGUCAUUCGAUACUGGUCGACUCGAAGGCAGGAGAGGGAAGCGGAAUUCCCGGUGUAGUGGUGAAAUGCGUAGAUAUCGGGAGGAACACCAGUGGCGAAGGCGACUUCCUGGCCUGUUCUUGACGCUGAGGCGCGAAAGCUAGGGUAGCAAACGGG